UACGGAGGGUGCAAACGUUGCUCGGAAUCAUUGGGCGUAAAGCGCACGUAGGCGGACUGGCAAGUUGGGUGUGAAAUCCCUCAGCUUAACUGAGGACGUGCAUUCAAAACUGCUAGCCUUGAGUACGAAAGAGGAUCGCGGAAUUCCCGGUGUAGAGGUGAAAUUCGUAGAUAUCGGGAGGAACACCAGUGGCGAAGGCGGCAGCCGGGACCGGCAUUGACGCUGAGGCGCGAAAGCCAGGGGAGCAAACGGG
rnacentral:rRNA from 1 species